AUCGCUUCUCGGCCUUUUGGCUAAGAUCAAGUGUAGUAUCUGUGAUCAAUUUAAUAUUAACUUUUUUACAUAACAGCUAAAUAACUGGCUAUUAUACCCACA
ensembl:snRNA U2 U2 spliceosomal RNA